AUUGUGGAUAACAUUUUUACAUUCUGCAAGAUUUAUUCGUUUUCAAAACGAAAACAUUUUCGUUGACGAAAUGAAAAGUAAACGGCAUUUUAUACCCUAUAUCAGGGUAAUUUAACUUUUGCUUUCUUUAUAAAUAAUUUUAUUUCAACCCAACCUCAAAUUUGGCUCGGAAAAAAUUGGCCAGGGCAAUACAAAUUUUCGUUUUGGUGCAAUCAGCAAACAUUUGUGAAAACUGGAGAGCCUUAAAACGAAACGUUUUAGCUGAACACGUAAUCCGCAAACAAUUUUUCAAAAAGGGAUGUUAAACAUGUCCUACCUAGUCCAACCCUGAAGCCUGUCGUAUUUCGUAGGAGUAGUUUGUUACCGUACUGCAACAAAAUGGAUUAUAUGCAGGUCAGUAGAACUCCCUGUACUAUCAUAUUCAAAGAAAAGUCAUUAAGGACGAAGAAGGCACGCUGCAGAUCUUGCAGUAUCCGAAGGAGAAACAUCAAUUUAUUGAUUCAAGGGAAAGCCUGGCCACAUGGCGGUAUUUGUAGGCAAAUAUGACUUCUCAUUUGUUUUAAGAGUAGUAUCCUUCUGCCCAGAAAAGGCUAAAUUAAUUCGCAAUGCUGUACGGCGAGGCGUUAGUCCUGCGUUUCAAAGCAAUGAUCAGUAUUGCGAAAUAAAGGAUUAAUCAAAGCGGAAAAAUUCAAAGUCUUCUAGCUCACACUGCUAAAAGAAUUGUUUGCAUACAAGAUGAAGUUAUUUUAUAUGUAAUGCUAGAGCAAGGCGUGCAUUUUUUGGCUGCAGAUUUGACUUUGAGUUAUGGUUUUGAUGGUAGCUCAGGCCAAUCCUCAAUCUAUUAGACUUGCGGUAAAACCAUCAGAUUUCAUUUCCAAUAUUUCCAAUAUGAAACUUUGCUCAAAUUUAAAAACAAUGAAAAUACCAAUUAAGCCUUCCACACUGCUGGAUUCGCAUGUUUAAAUUUAUUUUGAUCGCCGGAUACAAAGCAGUCUUAAAAACUUGAGGAUUGUGUUAAUAAGUCAUUCAUGCUAAUUGCCGAUAAGUGUUGAAAAAUUUAAGCAAUUCUACCAUAAAA